rnacentral:rRNA from 1 species
GACGAACGCUGGCGGCGUGCCUAAUACAUGCAAGUCGAACGCUUCUUUCCUCCCGAGUGCUUGCACUCAAUUGGAAAGAGGAGUGGCGGACGGGUGAGUAACACGUGGGUAACCUACCCAUCAGAGGGGGAUAACACUUGGAAACAGGUGCUAAUACCGCAUAACAGUUUAUGCCGCAUGGCAUAAGAGUGAAAGGCGCUUUCGGGUGUCGCUGAUGGAUGGACCCGCGGUGCAUUAGCUAGUUGGUGAGGUAACGGCUCACCAAGGCCACGAUGCAUAGCUGACCUGAGAGGGUGAUCGGCCACACUGGGACUGAGACACGGCCCAGACUCCUACGGGAGGCAGCAGUAGGGAAUCUUCGGCAAUGGACGAAAGUCUGACCGAGCAACGCCGCGUGAGUGAAGAAGGUUUUCGGAUCGUAAAACUCUGUUGUUAGAGAAGAACAAGGACGUUAGUAACUGAACGUCCCCUGACGGUAUCUAACCAGAAAGCCACGGCUAACUACGUG